rnacentral:rRNA from 1 species
GGAUGCGAUCAUACCAGCACUAAUGCACCGGAUCCCAUCAGAACUCCGAAGUUAAGCGUGCUUGGGCGAGAGUAGUACUAGGAUGGGUGACCCCCCUGGGAAGUCCUCGUGUUGCAUCCC